GGAGAGGUGCCCGAGUGGCUGAAGGGACCCGUCUUGAAAACGGGCGUGGCUAAUAUCCACCGUGGGUUCGAAUCCCACCCUCUCCGCCA
rnacentral:tRNA from 1 species